rnacentral:rRNA from 1 species
AUUGAACGCUGGCGGCAGGCUUAACACAUGCAAGUCGAGCGGUAACAGAGAGAAGCUUGCUUCUCUGCUGACGAGCGGCGGACGGGUGAGUAAUGCCUAGGAAUCUGCCUAGUAGUGGGGGAUAACUUGCCGAAAGGUAAGCUAAUACCGCAUACGUCCUACGGGAGAAAGGAGGGGACCUUCGGGCCUUUCGCUAUCAGAUGAGCCUAGGUCGGAUUAGUUAGUUGGUGAGGUAAUGGCUCACCAAGACCGCGAUCCGUAACUGGUCUGAGAGGAUGAUCAGUCACACGGGAACUGAGACACGGUCCAGACUCCUACGGGAGGCAGCAGUGGGGAAUAUUGGACAAUGGGGGGAACCCUGAUCCAGCCAUGCCGCGUGUGUGAAGAAGGUCUUAGGAUUGUAAAGCACUUUAAGUUGGGAGGAAGAGCAGUUAACUAAUAUUUGACUGUUUUGACGUUACCGACAGAAUAAGCACCGGCUAACUUCGUGCCAGCAGCCGCAGUAA